GAUGAACGCUGGCGGCGUGCCUAAUACAUGCAAGUCGAGCGAACAGACGAGGAGCUUGCUCCUUUGACGUUAGCGGCGGACGGGUGAGUAACACGUAGGUAACCUUCCUAUAAGACUGGGAUAACUUCGGGAAACCGGAGCUAAUACCGGAUAAUAUUUCGAACCGCAUGGUUCGAUAGUGAAAGAUGGCUUUGCUAUCACUUAUAGAUGGACCUGCGCCGUAUUAGCUAGUUGGUAAGGUAACGGCUUACCAAGGCAACGAUACGUAGCCGACCUGAGAGGGUGAUCGGCCAAACUGGAACUGAGAAACGGUCCAGACUCCUACGGGAGGAAGCAGUGGGGAAUCUUCCGAAAUGGGCGAAAGCCUGACGGAGCAACGCCGCGUGAGUGAUGAAGGUCUUCGGAUCGUAAAACUCUGUUAUUAGGGAAGAACAAACGUGUAAGUAACUGUGAACGUCUUGACGGUACCUAAUAAGAAAGCCACGGCUAACUACGU
rnacentral:rRNA from 1 species